GUCUGCAAACUCUCUGUGUCAGGCAUGGUUUGCAAAUUCUCUGUCUCAGGUAUGGUCUGCAAACUCUCUGUGCCAGGCAUGGUUUGCAAAUUCUCUGUCUCAGGCACGGUCUGCAAAUUCUCUGCCUCUGUCUCCUCAACGGAAACCCAAGAAUAAUUUUCAGGAAUAACCUUCAAAUCUUCCAUUUCCUUCUCUUCCAUAGAAACCCUAGAACCGCUCUCAGGAAUUGGCUCAAAAUCCUCCAUUAACUGCUCAUCCGUAGAAGCCCUAUUACUUCUUUCAGGGAUAGGCUCGACAUCCUCAGUUACAUUCUCGUCCACAGAAACCAUAGAAUCACUUUCAGGAAUCGGCUCAAAAUCCUCAGAAUUCACACCAUGAAUGGCCUCAAAAUCCCCCAUUUGUGAAUGUUCCAUCCCGUGCACAUUCCCAUGCCCAUACUGCUGAGCUUGAAGCUCCUCUAAUCUCGUCUCAUGCAUACAAUCCAUGAACGCAUGGCCUGGGUCCAGAGAAUGGUCAAAAUGCAAAGGCCUGUAAACAUCUGAAGGGUCCUCUUCAACAAUGGCAACCCGAGGAUCAUAUGGGCUCUCUAUUGUUGCAGGCCUAUAAACGUCGUUAGGGUCUUCUUCGUCCAUGGCGGGAACCCUAGAAAUUGCAGGCUAGGGCUCAAACCCAAUAACUACAGAUUAGGGUUUUAAGGUUUGAAACCCUAGAAUUGCAGAGCAGCUACAAAGCCUGGGGCGACGUUUGAAACGGUUUAAUAAUAAGCAAG
rnacentral:lncRNA from 1 species